rnacentral:rRNA from 1 species
GAUGAACGCUGGCGGCGUGCUUAACACAUGCAAGUCGAACGUUGAAGCCCAGCUUGCUGGGUGGAUUAGUGGCGAACGGGUGAGUAACACGUGAGUAACCUGCCCUUAACUCUGGGAUAAGCCUGGGAAACUGGGUCUAAUACCGGAUAGGAGCGUCCACCGCAUGGUGGGUGUUGGAAAGAUUUAUCGGUUUUGGAUGGACUCGCGGCCUAUCAGCUUGUUGGUGAGGUAAUGGCUCACCAAGGCGACGACGGGUAGCCGGCCUGAGAGGGUGACCGGCCACACUGGGACUGAGACACGGCCCAGACUCCUACGGGAGGCAGCAGUGGGGAAUAUUGCACAAUGGGCGCAAGCCUGAUGCAGCGACGCCGCGUGAGGGAUGACGGCCUUCGGGUUGUAAACCUCUUUCAGUAGGGAAGAAGCGAAAGUGACGGUACCUGCAGAAGAAGCACCGGCUAACUACGUG